UACAGAGGUCUCAAGCGUUGUUCGGAUUCAUUGGGCGUAAAGGGUGCGUAGGUGGCGGGGUAAGUCAGGUGUGAAAUUUCGGAGCUUAGCUCCGAAACUGCAUUUGAUACUGCCUUGCUUGAGGACUGGAGAGGAGACUGGAAUUCACGGUGUAGCAGUGAAAUGCGUAGAGAUCGUGAGGAAGACCAGUGGCGAAGGCGGGUCUCUGGACAGUUCCUGACACUGAGGCACGAAGGCCAGGGGAGCAAACGGG
rnacentral:rRNA from 1 species